AGAGUUUGAUCAUGGCUCAGGACGAACGCUGGCGGCGUGCUUAACACAUGCAAGUCGAACGGAGAUAAUAGUAAUAUUAUCUUAGUGGCGGACGGGUGAGUAACGCGUGGGCAACUUGCCUCAGACUGGGGGAUAACACAGGGAAACUUGUGCUAAUACCGCAUAAUAUGGAGAUAUGGCAUCAUAUUUCCAUCAAAGGAGCAAUCCGGUUUGAGAUGGGCCCGCGUCCGAUUAGCUAGUUGGUGAUGUAAUGGACCACCAAGGCGACGAUCGGUAGCCGAACUGAGAGGUUGAUCGGCCACAUUGGGACUGAGACACGGCCCAGACUCCUACGGGAGGCAGCAGUGGGGAAUAUUGCACAAUGGGGGAAACCCUGAUGCAGCAACGCCGCGUGAAGGAUGAAGGUUUUCGGAUUGUAAACUUCUUUGAUUGGGGACGAAUAAUGACGGUACCCAAAAAAACAAGCCACGGCUAACUACGUGCCAGCAGCCGCGGUAAUACGUAGGUGGCAAGCGUUGUCCGGAGUUACUGGGUGUAAAGGGCGUGUAGGCGGGGAUAUAAGUCAGAUGUGAAAUUCCAUGGCUCAACUGUGGCGCUGCAUCUGAAACUGUAUUUCUUGAGUGAUGGAGAGGAAAGCGGAAUUCCUAGUGUA
rnacentral:rRNA from 1 species